rnacentral:tRNA from 1 species
GGGGGUUUGGUUUAGUGGUUAUAACGCCGCGCUUACACCGCGGAUAUCAGGAGUUCGAUCCUCCUAACCCCCA